AUGCCUUUCUCAGUCUUUUGGCUAAGAUCAAGUGUAGUAUAUGUUCUUAUGAGUUCAAUAUCUGAUUAGUGGCCCAAUGGGUCACAAUAAUAUUAAAUUACUUUUUUGAGGGGAAGUUGUUAUUGCGUUUUUUAAGGGUCGGUUAUGUGUUGCACUAUUGCAUGGGCUGGCGCACCCCUC
rnacentral:snRNA from 2 species